GCAACGCGAAGAACCUUACCUGGGCUAGACAACAGCGGACCGUCCUAGAAAUAGGAUUUUCCUUUCGGGGACCGCUGGUUCAGGUGCUGCAUGGCUGUCGUCAGCUCGUGCCGUGAGGUGUUGGGUUAAGUCCCGCAACGAGCGCAACCCUCGUACUUAGUUGCCACCAUUCAGUUGGGCACUCUAGGUAGACUGCCGGCGUUAAGCCGGAGGAAGGUGGGGACGACGUCAAGUCAUCAUGGCCCUUAUGUCCAGGGCCACACACGUGCUACAAUGGACGGUACAAAGGGUCGCGAACCCGCGAGGGGGAGCCAAUCCCAAAAAGCCGUUCUCAGUUCGGAUUGGAGUCUGCGACUCGACUCCAUGAAGUUGGAAUCGCUAGUAAUCGCGGAUCAGCACGCCGCGGUGAAUACGUUCCCGGGCCUUGUACACACCGCCCGUCACACCAUGGAAGCCAGCUGUACCGGAAGUCGGUGCAUUAACCCGCAAGGGAGAUAGCCGCCUAUGGUAUGACUGGUGACUGGGGUGAAGUCGUAACAAGGUAGCCGUAGGGGAACCUGCGGCUGGAUCACCUCCUAAUCUAGAUGCAUCGCAU
rnacentral:rRNA from 1 species